rnacentral:rRNA from 1 species
GACGAACCGUGCGAACGUUAUUCGGAAUCACUGGGCUUAAAGCGCGUGUAGGCGGGGCGGAACGUCGGGUGCUGAAAGCCCCCGGCUCAACCGGGGAAGUGGCACCGAUACGACCGCCCUCGAGGGACGUAGGGGGACCUGGAACUUCCGGUGGAGCGGUGAAAUGCGUUGAGAUCGGAAGGAACGCCCGUGGCGAAAGCGAGGUCCUGGACGUUUUCUGACGCUGAGACGCGAAAGCCAGGGGAGCGAACGGG